rnacentral:rRNA from 1 species
GGUUAAGCGACUAAGCGUACACGGUGGAUGCCCUGGCAGUCAGAGGCGAUGAAGGACGUGCUAAUCUGCGAAAAGCGUCGGUAAGGUGAUAUGAACCGUUACAGCCGGCGAUGUCCGAAUGGGGAAACCCAGUGCAAUUCGUUGCACUAUCGUUAACUGAAUACAUAGGUUAACGAGGCGAACCGGGGGAACUGAAACAUCUAAGUACCCCGAGGAAAAGAAAUCAACCGAGAUUCCCCNCCGGCGAUGUCCGAAUGGGGAAACCCAGUGCAAUUCGUUGCACUAUCGUUAACUGAAUACAUAGGUUAACGAGGCGAACCGGGGGAACUGAAACAUCUAAGUACCCCGAGGAAAAGAAAUCAACCGAGAUUCCCCCAGUAGCGGCGAGCGAACGGGGAGCAGCCCAGAGUCUGAAUCAGCUUGUGUGUUAGUGGAACGGUCUGGAAAGUCCGACGGUACAGGGUGAUAGUCCCGUACACCAAAAUGCACAGGCUGUGAACUCGAAGAGUAGGGCGGGACACGUGGUAUCCUGUCUGAAUAUGGGGGGACCAUCCUCCAAGGCUAAAUACUCCUGACUGACCGAUAGUGAACCAGUACCGUGAGGGAAAGGCGAAAAGAACCCCGGCGAGGGGAGUGAAAAAGAACCUGAAACCGUGUACGUACAAGCAGUGGGAGCACCUUCGGGUGUGACUGCGUACCUUUUGUAUAAUGGGUCAGCGACUUAUAUUCUGUAGCAAGGUUAACCGUAUAGGGGAGCCGCAGGGAAACCGAGUCUUAACUGGGCGUUAAGUUGCAGGGUAUAGACCCGAAACCCGGUGAUCUAGCCAUGGGCAGGUUGAAGGUUGGGUAACACUAACUGGAGGACCGAACCGACUAAUGUUGAAAAAUUAGCGGAUGACUUGUGGCUGGGGGUGAAAGGCCAAUCAAACCGGGAGAUAGCUGGUUCUCCCCGAAAGCUAUUUAGGUAGCGCCUCGUGAAYUCAUCUUCGGGGGUAGAGCACUGUUUCGGCUAGGGGGUCAUCCCGACUUACCAACCCGAUGCAAACUACGAAUACCGAAGAAUGUUAUCACGGGAGACACACGGCGGGUGCUAACGUCCGUCGUGAAGAGGGAAACAACCCAGACCGCCAGCUAAGGUCCCAAAGUCAUGGUUAAGUGGGAAACGAUGUGGGAAGGCACAGACAGCCAGGAUGUUGGCUUAGAAGCAGCCAUCAUUUAAAGAAAGCGUAAUAGCUCACUGGUCGAGUCGGCCUGCGCGGAAGAUGUAACGGGGCUAAACCAUGCACCGAAGCUGCGGCAGCGACACUAUGUGUUGUUGGGUAGGGGAGCGUUCUGUAAGCCUGCGAAGGUGWSCUGUGAGGSWUGCUGGAGGUAUCAGAAGUGCGAAUGCUGACAUAAGUAACGAUAAAGCGGGUGAAAAGCCCGCUCGCCGGAAGACCAAGGGUUCCUGUCCAACGUUAAUCGGGGCAGGGUGAGUCGACCCCUAAGGCGAGGCCGAAAGGCGUAGUCGAUGGGAAACAGGUUAAUAUUCCUGUACUUGGUGUUACUGCGAAGGGGGGACGGAGAAGGCUAUGUUAGCCGGGCGACGGUUGUCCCGGUUUAAGCAUGUAGGCUGGUURUCCAGGCAAAUCCGGAUAAUCAAGGCUGAGGUGUGAUGACGAGGCACUACGGUGCUGAAGUAACAAAUGCCCUGCUUCCAGGAAAAGCCUCUAAGCAUCAGGUAACAUYAAAUCGUACCCCAAACCGACACAGGUGGUCAGGUAGAGAAUACCAAGGCGCUUGAGAGAACUCGGGUGAAGGAACUAGGCAAAAUGGUGCCGUAACUUCGGGAGAAGGCACGCUGGUGUGUAGGUGAAGUCCCUGCGGAUGGAGCUGAGACCAGUCGAAGAUACCAGCUGGCUGCAACUGUUUAUUAAAAACACAGCACUGUGCAAACACGAAAGUGGACGUAUACGGUGUGACGCCUGCCCGGUGCCGGAAGGUUAAUUGAUGGGGUUAUCCGUAAGGAGAAGCUCUUGAUCGAAGCCCCGGUAAACGGCGGCCGUAACUAUAACGGUCCUAAGGUAGCGAAAUUCCUUGUCGGGUAAGUUCCGACCUGCACGAAUGGCGUAAUGAUGGCCAGGCUGUCUCCACCCGAGACUCAGUGAAAUUGAACUCGCUGUGAAGAUGCAGUGUACCCGCGGCAAGACGGAAAGACCCCGUGAACCUUUACUAUAGCUUGACACUGAACAUUGAGCCUUGAUGUGUAGGAUAGGUGGGAGGCUUUGAAGCGUGGACGCCAGUCUGCGUGGAGCCAACCUUGAAAUACCACCCUUUAAUGUUUGAUGUUCUAACGUUGGCCCCUKACCGGGGUUGCGGACAGUGUCUGGUGGGUAGUUUGACUGGGGCAUGCCAAUGGCACUGCCCGGUAGCUAAAUGCGGAAGAGAUAAGUGCUGAAAGCAUCUAAGCACGAAACUUGCCCCGAGAUGAGUUCUCCCUGAGACUUUAAGUCUCCUGAAGGAACGUUAAAGACGAUGACGUUGAUAGGCCGGGUGUGUAAGCGCAGCGAUGCGUUGAGCUAACCGGUACUAAUGAACCGUGAGGCUUAACCUU